UUUUGAGUCGCUUUUCUAUGCUCUUUCCUUCUCUUUUAUUUACCUCAUCUCUCUUUUGAUACUUUGUCUCUCAUCCACCCAUUUUUUCUCCCUAUUAUACCCUUUUUCUCUCUCUACACCUCAUGUCUUUGUGUCACGACCUUGCUCCUGCCGUCUCCACUGAACCCGCAGAGGGCCAAGCCCGGGCCUGUCGAAAAAUCGUAGGGCAUGGGGCCACGACCACAGGUUGCGAGUGCCACAUUGGUUAGAGUGCGCCCAACACCUUGAAAACUGAGAAAUUUUCGGUAUCAAGCUAGCCACAAAAAAAAACAAAAAACAAAACACAAUAUACAUAACCAUAGUCUGCUAGACAAACAAGUCCCAAAAUAUAUAAAACAAUCCAAAAUAGUGCAUGUAAGUCCAAGGCACAGAAGCCCAACAUCAAGACGUAUUACCAAAUCAAAAUGGACUAUAUAGCCAGACUACCAACCAAAAUAUACACUACAAAAUAAAGCUUCAAUAUAAGGGGGGUAAGAGACCCAAACAUGACCACCAGGAUACGUCACUCUAGUCACGGCUAGCUAUCACUUUACAUAAGAGAAAAAUUAAUAGAGUGAGUUGUAAAGCCCAUUAAAUAAGAUCUAGGUGUCAUUCUUACAACUAUCUUGUCAUGUCAAUAAUCAGGGUUUUAUGCGAGUCUUACAAAACAUGGAAUCAUGUGUCAAAUUCAUAUUUAAACAAAAUGUAUCAUGCAUGAUUUAUUUCAUGGUGGAGUAAUAACUAAUCAGAUUAAUCAAAUAUGAUUGUAAUAAGAAGUCGAUCAAAUCAUUCAGACAUGAGCAUCAUAACAGAUUAAAACAUUUAGGCAUACAUGUAACAAGCAUAAUCAAAUCAAAGGAUACCAACCAACUCCUGAAGUAGGAGCCCCACCCAUCGGGCCAAUCAAAUCUUGGUGCGUAGAACAUCUACCAUCACAACUAGGAGAUAAACACCACCAACAAGUAAGUUCCUUGCAUAGUGCCUCACACACGUAGACAACCCCAUUACAAUGUGGUAAAUUAAUAGGCACUAGCCUUGCAAGACCUGACCCUCUCUGUGCCAUUCUGGCGAGAGGGCGCUACACUACUAAAGGGGUCCCAAUGAGUAGUGCUUCACAUAAGUUUGGGGGAGCGACUACCCAAAUACACACACUCUUAACUCUCAUCCUAUCAUGGAUAGCAGGGAGAAAUCACAGCUGCCGACACAAAUAUCUCAUCAAAUCAUAACAAAAGCAUGUCUCCAUGCGCACCAGCACAUAUCUUAUCAGAAGCAUGUUAUCAUGUAUAGAUUACAUUACAGAAGCAUGUCUCCAUGCACACAUAUCUUAUCAGAAACAUGUUACCAUGCACACAUAUCCUAUCAGAAGCAUGUUAUCAUAGAUAGAUCAUACAACAAAACCAUGUCUCUAUACACACAUAUCUUAUUGAAAGCAUGUUACCAUAUAUAUAUCGUAUAGCAAAAACAUAUCUCCAUGCACACACAUCUUAUCAAAAGCAUGCAAUGAGUGUCAUAUCAUAAUCAUAUUAGAAACAUAUUAUCAUACACAUAUCACAUAAAAUGCAUAUCAUGAAUAAUUAGUGGCAUGUUACAUACAGAUUUUUAUCAAGAGGUAUAUCACUAAUUGACAAGAUUCAUGCUUCUUAUACACACAUAUCAUAUCAAAAGCAUGCCAUACAUAAUAAUGAUCAUCUCAAAGAUGUGUCAGGUACAUCAAUUGGCAUCUCACUUAUGUACAUGUACUAUAUCAAGAUGGGACGAGAGUACGAUCCAAUCUCGUUAAAUUUUCUAGAUUUCUAAAGUGAGCAUAGUGUGCUUACUUAGACAUAAAUUUAAACUUAUCCAAUAUUAAAUUAUGGGACUUAUUCUCAGACUCAAAAUUAUACAACUUUUGUUUAAGAGGAAACACGAAAUUAUCGACCUAAAUGGGUCGAUUCACUUGAUCCUCUAGGAGUGAACUUUUUGCCCUAACCACAGCUGACCACCCUUUAGUAAAAAGGCCCUAACAUUUGGCAUAUGUAGAAUUUACUCAUGAAGCAUAACUUUAUGAAAACUAGACUCAUAAAUACACAACUUUCAUUUAGGAAGUAACACUAGAAAAUAGACCAAAGUUGGUCAACUAUAUGAUUCUUUAGGGAGUUACUUCUAUUCUAUGCAGCAUAAACUACAAAAGACAUUCUACCAGUAACAUGAUCAUAACUCUUAGACUAUAGAGAGUUUCAUCAUGAUCCCAAAACCAAAAUUCAUCUAGACUCGUUAAUCUAAAAUUUCAAAGUGGUUUCAUAUCAUUCUAGUAAAUUUUGUUCAAUUAAAAACUUCACACAUAAACAUGUCAAAUCCCUAGAGUUUCAGUUCACAUAUCUGACAUGCUUAACAAAUAGUUAAUAGCUUUUAAAUUAUAUUAGAUAUUAACAAUGGGUCUUUUUCAUGUAGAAAUACAUUCAACAUCCUACUGACCCACUCAGAUUCAUAGACUAAUUCAAGGUUUAAGAUACCCUAACAAUCUCUCAAACAGGGACCAUAAUUUUGGAAAUCAAAAUACCCUUUAAUAUAAUUUUAGUAAGCAUGCACCCACACUCACAUACAUAUACAUACACACACACACACUUAAAUUUCACAUUUGAAUUAAGCAAAUAAACAUGUAUUAACAUGAGCAUGAAACUAUGAAAAACUAAAUCUACUUACCUUACUCCAAUCAAAAUCUUCAAGAUGAAAUGUUCUACAAUCGCCACUUCAAUUGCCAAACUUCAAAUGGACUAGGUUCAAGCUUCAAAGGUUCAAGGCUUAUGGCGUUAAAAGGCUUGGUGGGGUUUAAUGGCUAAGGGAGAAGAAGAAAAACGAAGGGAAAAGAGGGGUACAUGAGGGAGUGAAGGGGUGAGGAGAGACAGUGAAACUAAUUUAUGAGUGAAUGGGGGGGUAAAUAUAAGAAUGGGGGAGCAUGGUGGCAUGUG
rnacentral:lncRNA from 1 species